rnacentral:rRNA from 1 species
CUACACACCACCUAGCUCAAUCAACUCUGCCAACAUCCUUCCUCACCCCACAAACCAUUCUCACCACUAAUUAGUAGCAGCCUCAAACCAUGCGAUCGAAAAUUCCAACCCGAAGCAAUAGAGACAGUACCGCAAGGGAAAUGUGAAAUAACACUAUCUUCUACGUAUAGAAAAGCAGAGACUAACCCACGUACCUUUUGCAUCAUGAUUUAGCAAGAACACCCAGCCAAAAUGACUUAUAGCCUGCCCACCCGAAAUCAAGUGAGCUACUUCCAGGCAAUCUAACAGGAUUUAACCCACCUCUGUAGCAAAAGAGGGGCAAGACCUAGAAGUAGAGGUGAUAAGCCAAACGAACUUGAUGAUAGCUGGUUGCCUGAUAAAUGAAUCUCAGUUCACCCUUUAGCUUCCCGAGCAAACAAAAUAGCAAAAUCCCAAGCUUAAGAGAUAUUCAACAAUGGAACACCACUGUUGAAACAGGAAACAACCUGAACCAGAGAGACACUAACCCUCUACUACCCCGUAGGCCUCAAAUCAGCCAUCCCAAACAAAAACGUUACAGUAUCUAAAACAAAAAUCCCACAAAUCACCCAAACCUCCUGUUAAUCACCAGGCUACCCUAUACUCUUAUAGAGGAACCCAUGCUAGAACUAGUAACAAGAAACGUUCUCUCAACACACCCUUAAGUCAGCCUCAGAACAUCUACUGACAAUUAACAGACAUAUCACCACCCGUUAUAUCCCCUGUUGACCCAACACAGGAGUGUACCACCAAGAAAGAUUAAAAGUUAAAAAAGGAACUCGGCAAACCUACUACUCCGACUGUUUACCAAAAACAUAGCCUCUGGCAUUCACAGUAUCAGAGGUAACGCCUGCCCAGUGAUCACAUUUCAACGGCCGCGGUAUCCUAACCGUGCAAAGGUAGCGCAAUCACUUGUCCCCUAAAUAGUGACUAGUAUGAACGGCCAUACGAGAGUAGACCUGUCUCUUUUAACUGAUCAGUGAAACUGAUCUCCCAGUACAAAAGCUGGGACACUAACAUAAGACGAAAAGACCCUGUGGAGCUUAAAUACCACCCUACCCCUCCCUAGCACAAGUAUUUCAGUUGGGGCAACUUCGGAAUCAAACUAAACUUCCGAUCACACUCCGAAAAUACCGUUUCUAAGACCUACAUGUCUAACCCAAGAGUCAGACCCAGUAAUUUACUGAUUAACGAACCAAGUUACCCCAGGGAUAACAGCGCCAUCUUCUUCUAGAGCCCCCAUCGACAAGAAGGUUUACGACCUCGAUGUUGGAUCAGGACACCCAAAUAGCGCAGCCGCUACUAAAGGUUCGUUUGUUCAACGAUUAAAGCCCUACGUGAUCUGAGUUCAGACCGGAGCAAUCCAGGUCGGUUUCUAUCUAUGCACUAUUCUCUUCAGUACGAAAGGACCAAGAAAAUGGGACCAAUAUCCCCACAAGUCCCCACCCACCUGAAACAAUAUCAAGCCAACAGUACCCUAUCACCCAAAAACAGGGC